rnacentral:rRNA from 1 species
AUUGAACGCUGGCGGAAUGCUUUACACAUGCAAGUCGAACGGCAGCACGGGGGCAACCCUGGUGGCGAGUGGCGAACGGGUGAGUUAUACAUCGGAACGUGCCCAGUCGUGGGGGAUAACUACGCGAAAGCGUAGCUAAUACCGCAUACGAUCUACGGAUGAAAGCGGGGGAUCGCAAGACCUCGCGCGAUUGGAGCGGCCGAUGGCAGAUUAGGUAGUUGGUGGGGUAAAGGCUUACCAAGCCUACGAUCUGUAGCUGGUCUGAGAGGACGACCAGCCACACUGGGACUGAGACACGGCCCAGACUCCUACGGGAGGCAGCAGUGGGGAAUUUUGGACAAUGGGCGCAAGCCUGAUCCAGCAAUGCCGCGUGCAGGAUGAAGGCCUUCGGGUUGUAAACUGCUUUUGUACGGAACGAAAAGCUCUGGGUUAAUACCUCGGGGUCAUGACGGUACCGUAAGAAUAAGCACCGGCUAACUACGUGCCAGCCGCCGCGGUAA